CCUGGCUUUAUCCAAUCAGAUUUUCGACAUCUUUAAGUAUACAAAAUCUUUAACAUCAGCUCUACAAUCUUAAUGCUAAUAAAGCUGGAAAAUGUAAAGGUUCCAUGCCAUGUUCUGUAUUUUGAUAAUUGGACAGGUCUGUUGGCUAUCACCCCUUCUGUUCCGUCAUAGCUUUGGAAACAGUUUAUGUCACAGAGGAGUAAUGGCAGCUCUGUAAGGUGGUUGCAGUUUGGCUAAUGAGCCUUUUUUCAUAAUGUGGCUGAUUAUCUCAGGAGACAUGAGCUGAAGGGUCUGCAUUAAUCCCAGUCUGAAACAAACCCAGGAACAGAACUCUGAGGCCUGUGUUUUCUGUUGGGAAAUGUGCCUGUCCCAGGGACUCAGGUGGAGAGCUGCUGUGCUGUCCAGGGACCAGAUCAGCUGGAGGAAGACCAGAAGCAAAUAAUGACAGCACAGCAGCAGCUUGCAACUGAACUGGAAGAUUUUCCAGGAUUAGAAGGUGCAAAGCUUGGUGUGAACCUUCUGGUUCCCCCCAAAGUGCAUGGCCUUUAUAUAUAUAUAUAUAUAUAUAUAUAUAUAUAA
rnacentral:lncRNA from 1 species